AAAAGUUACAGCUCUUUUAGAAUUUGUCUAGCAGGUUCUCCCCU
rnacentral:snRNA from 1 species